rnacentral:rRNA from 1 species
AUUGAACGCUGGCGGCAGGCCUAACACAUGCAAGUCGAACGCGUGGCGGACGGGUGAGUAAUGUCUGGGAAACUGCCCGAUGGAGGGGGAUAACUACUGGAAACGGUAGCUAAUACCGCAUACCAUCGGAUGUGCCCAGAUGGGAUUAGAUUGUAGGUGAGGUAACGGCUCACCUAGGCGACGAUCCCUAGCUGGUCUGAGAGGAUGACCAGGCACACUGGAGCUGAGACAGGGUCUCGAUUCUUACGGGAGGCAGCAGUGGGGAAUAUUGCACAAUGGGCGAAAGCCUGAUUCAGCCAUGCCGCGUAUAUGAAGAAGGCUUUCGGGUUUUAAACUACUUUCAGCGGGGAGGCGUGACCCGCAGAAGAAGCACCGGCUAACUCCGUGCCAGCAGCCGCUGUAAUAC